UGGACUGUACUUUUAUAGAAUCUCUAUAAAUUUACUAGCCCUGUUUGACUUGCUCAAACAAGAAAUCAAUAUCACCCAUGUUGAUAAGCAAAAGCACUGAUGGACUCCGCGAGAGUAACAUGGUCACCACUUCGGUGGAGACUGUGUGGCGAAGAGCUGCGUCGAGAAAUAUUCCAUCUUGAUGCCCGUCUGUGCACUUUGAAUGGG